rnacentral:rRNA from 1 species
GGGGGUGCCGAAUGGGGGUAUUCUCCCCCUGUUUUUUACAGCCACAUGCUUUCAUUUUUCAGGCGCCUCAUGUUAACGACAACACAUGCCUCAGAUGAUUUUGUCCAUGAUGAUCUGGUAGGAACUAAUGGAUGAACCAAGCAAAAAGGGCAUUCAAGAAGAUCAUCAUGCAGUUAAUCGUGAUGCUGAUCCCUCGCAUGCGAUUGAAGAUCAUCACGAGG